rnacentral:rRNA from 1 species
AUUGAACGCUGGCGGCAGGCCUAACACAUGCAAGUCGAGCGGAUGAAGGGAGCUUGCUCCUGGAUUCAGCGGCGGACGGGUGAGUAAUGCCUAGGAAUCUGCCUGGUAGUGGGGGAUAACGUCCGGAAACGGGCGCUAAUACCGCAUACGUCCUGAGGGAGAAAGUGGGGGAUCUUCGGACCUCACGCUAUCAGAUGAGCCUAGGUCGGAUUAGCUAGUUGGUGGGGUAAAGGCCUACCAAGGCGACGAUCCGUAACUGGUCUGAGAGGAUGAUCAGUCACACUGGAACUGAGACACGGUCCAGACUCCUACGGGGGGCAGCAGUGGGGAAUAUUGGACGAUGGGCGAAAGCCUGAUCCAGCCAUGCCGCGUGUGUGAAGAAGGUCUUCGGAUUGUAAAGCACUUUAAGUUGGGAGGAAGGGCAGUAAGUUAAUACCUUGCUGUUUUGACGUUACCAACAGAAUAAGCACCGGCUAACUUCGUG